rnacentral:rRNA from 1 species
GACGAACGCUGGCGGCGUGCCUAAUACAUGCAAGUCGAGCGAACAGACGCGGAGCUUGCUCCUCUGACGUUAGCGGCGGACGGGUGAGUAACAUGUGUAUAACCUACCUAUCAGACUGGGAUAACUUCGGGACACCGGAGCUUAUACCGGAUAAUAUAUUGCUCCGCAUGGUUCAAUCGUGAAAUUCGGUUUUGCUGUCUCUACUAGCUGGAUCCGCGCCGCAUUAGUUGGUUGGUAAGGUAAUGGAUUACCCAGGCUAGGAUGCGUAGCCGACCUGAGAGAGUGGUAGGCGACACUGGAGGUGAGACGCGUUCCAGACUCCUGCGGGAGGCAGCAGUAGGGAAUCUUACGCAAUGGGCGAGAGCGUGACAGAGCAACGCCGCGUGAGUGAUGAAGGUGUUCGGAGCGGAAAGCUCUGUUGUUAGUGGAGAACAAAUGUGUAAGUAACUGUGCAGGUAUUGACGGUACCGGGUCAAGAAGCCACGGCUAACUACGUG